AGCUUGCAGGGAUGUGUGCGUUGGCUGGAGGGGAUGUCUGGAGGAGCUGGGAAGUAACCAGAUGACUGACAGCGAUUCAGGCUCGAUGCCUUAUGGAGGGGACAGGCGAACAGACCUGCUCCUUCCUUUGUGUUGCCAGUCAGGUCCUCCCUCUGCAGUCUUACACAGGAAGAAGAUUUAUAACAGCUGCAUGCAAUGCCAGUGUCUCAAAGAAACAGUAUCACGCCAUGUGGAGGAUUUUUGUUUGGGGUUUGUUUUCUCCACUGAAUUGGAAAGGAGUGUGUUUCUGGGCCCCCAUAACCCUACUGGUCACCUCCUCCUCCUCUUCCACACCUGGCCCCCAUAACCCUACUGGUCACCUCCUCCUCCUCUUCCACACCUUUGUGGUGAAUGAUGAAGAAAGGACGCAGCUUUUCAAUACCAAGGAAGAAAUGGAGCAAUAACUGGAGGACCAUAAUCUACUUAUUGCUGCUUGCAGUGGAUGUCAGAGUCAAAUGGCUCAGAUAAGCAGCUACUACAGGACCAUGAAAAAGUGCCACUUAUUUUACUGCUUCUCAAAAAUUUAAAUUACAGAAUCUGUAAAUUUCCAAUGGAUUGAACCAACUUCCUUUUAAUUUUUAAAAUUUUAGAGUAUUUGUUUUUAUCGUGUCCUGUCUUUGCCUGAGACAAAGUUAAUUUAUUUUCUGUUUCUGGUAGAGUGCUGAGAUUUGGAUUCAGUGUGAGAAUAAUGUUGAUAACACACUGAUGUUUUGGUUGUUCCUAAGAAGUGCCUAUCCUAAGUCAAGGACAUUUUUGUGCCUCAUGCUCAGACAGUGAAGAAGAGCACAAAAAACCUGGGAGGGAGCAUAGCUGGGACAGGUGAGCUGAGCUGCCCAAAGGGGUAUUCCACAACACAGAACAGCAUGCUCAGUAUAAAAACUGGGGAAAUUACCUGGGAGGGGGGCUGAUUGGGUGUCAGCGAUAUGGGUCUGGCAUCAGCCAGCAGAUGGUGAGCAAUUGUAUUGUGCAUCACUGUUUUUACUUUUAUAUUAUUAUUGUUGUUUUUAUUAUUUACUAUUAUUAUUGUUAUAUUUUACUUUU
rnacentral:lncRNA from 1 species